CCUACGGGUGGCAGCAGUGAGGAAUAUUGGUCAAUGGACGAGAGUCUGAACCAGCCAAGUAGCGUGAAGGAUGACUGCCCUAUGGGUUGUAAACUUCUUUUAUAAAGGAAUAAAACGAGGCACGUGUGCCUUUUUGCAUGUACUUUAUGAAUAAGGAUCGGCUAACUCCGUGCCAGCAGCCGCGGUAAUACGGAGGAUCCGAGCGUUAUCCGGAUUUAUUGGGUUUAAAGGGAGCGUAGAUGGGUUGUUAAGUCAGUUGUGAAAGUUUGCGGCUCAACCGUAAAAUUGCAAUUGAUACUGGCAGUCUUGAGUACAGUUGAGGUAGGCGGAAUUCGUGGUGUAGCGGUGAAAUGCUUAGAUAUCACGAAGAACCCCGAUUGCGAAGGCAGCUUACUAAACUGUAACUGACGCUGAGGUUCGAAAGCGUGGGUAGCAAACAGGAUUAGAUACCCCUGUAGUC
rnacentral:rRNA from 1 species